rnacentral:rRNA from 1 species
CACGUAGGGUGCGAGCGUUGUCCGGAAUUAUUGGGCGUAAAGAGCUCGUAGGCGGUGUGUCGCGUCGGCCGUGAAAACCUGGGGCUUAACUCUGGGCUUGCGGUCGAUACGGGCAUCACUGGAGUUCGGCAGGGGAGACUGGAAUUCCUGGUGUAGCGGUGAAAUGCGUAGAUAUCUGGAGGAACACCGGUGGCGAAGGCGACAUCCUGGACCGGUAUUGACGCUGAGGCGCGAAAGCCAGGGGAGCAAACGGG